rnacentral:rRNA from 1 species
GACGUAGGGCGCGAGCGUUGUCCGGAUUUAUUGGGCGUAAAGAGCUCGUAGGCGGCUUGUUGCGUCGACCGUGAAAACCCGGGGCUCAACUUCGGGCUUGCGGUUGAUACGGGCGGGCUGGAGUUCGGUAGGGGAGACUGGAAUUCCUGGUGUAGCGGUGAAAUGCGCAGAUAUCAGGAAGAACACCCGUGGCGAAGGCGGCUCUCUGGGACGGUACUGACGCUGAGACGCGAAAGCGUGGGGAGCGAACAGG